rnacentral:rRNA from 1 species
UACGUAGGGGGCAAGCGUUUGUCCGGAUUUAUUGGGCGUAAAGAGCGUGUAGGCGGCUUGGUAGGUCCGCUGUGAAAACUCGAGGCUCAACCUCGAGAUGUCGGCGGAAACCACUUGGCUAGAGUCCGGAAGAGGAGAGUGGAAUUCCUGGUGUAGCGGUGAAAUGCGCAGAUAUCAGGAAGAACACCAGCGGCGAAGGCGGCGCUCUGGGCCGGAACUGACGCUGAGGAGCGAAAGCGUGGGUAGCAAACAGG